rnacentral:rRNA from 1 species
AGUGAACGCUGGCGGUAGGCCUAACACAUGCAAGUCGAACGGCAGCACAGUAAGAGCUUGCUCUUACGGGUGGCGAGUGGCGGACGGGUGAGGAAUACAUCGGAAUCUACUUUUUCGUGGGGGAUAACGUAGGGAAACUUACGCUAAUACCGCAUACGACCUACGGGUGAAAGCAGGGGAUCUUCGGACCUUGCGCGAUUGAAUGAGCCGAUGUCGGAUUAGCUAGUUGGCGGGGUAAAGGCCCACCAAGGCGACGAUCCGUAGCUGGUCUGAGAGGAUGAUCAGUCACACUGGAACUGAGACACGGUCCAGACUCCUACGGGAGGCAGCAGUGGGGAAUAUUGGACAAUGGGCGCAAGCCUGAUCCAGCCAUACCGCGUGGGUGAAGAAGGCCUUCGGGUUGUAAAGCCCUUUUGUUGGGAAAGAAAAGUAGCAGGUUAAUACCCCGCUGUUCUGACGGUACCCAAAGAAUAAGCACCGGCUAACUUCGUG